rnacentral:piRNA from 3 species
UAGGAUUUGCUGAAGGAGGCAGAGG